rnacentral:ncRNA from 2 species
AAUUUAAUAAAAGUUUUAGGUACUUAUUAAGUUUAACAACUUAUGAGUUUAAAAGGGAAAUAGGUUAAAAGCCUAUGCGGUCCCGCCACUGUAAGGAUGAGUAUAUUAACAUUAUGCCACUCAGUAAUGGGGAAGGCCUUAAUAUAUGAUGAAUCUUAGCCAGGAGACCUGCCUAAAAUUAUAGAUACUG